UACAACUAAUUGAUCACAACCAG
rnacentral:piRNA from 1 species